rnacentral:tRNA from 2 species
GCUCGAAUAGCUCAGUUGGUAGAGUAGAGGUUUGAAAAACCUUUGGUCGUGAGUUCGAGUCUCACUUCGGGCA